UGCUGGACCUCAAAAUGGCACAGAGUGGCAGGGACAGGCUUCACCCCUCACUGAAGAUAAGGGAUCAGGAAAUGGCAGCUCUUCAGUAAAGGAUUUCAGUAAAUAAAAGACGCACCAAGAUUGAAGACAAAAAAUGUGAAUUCAAAAAGAAUUUUCAUCUCAUCCUUCACACUGAAGUGGCUAACCCUCACUUACAAGCCACAACUGCAGGCUCAGAACACCUUCAUUAAUUUCACUGUCACCAGGGACAGGCUGGAAGACCAGCUGUUGCCUGAGGUUUUUAAUGCAAGACUCACAAAAAAUAUAAGGUAGCUGAAGCCAAAGAAAAUAAUGACAAGAUGUCAUGUCAGGAUGACACAACAAGAGAGCAUUACAGACUGACAGCUGGAAGAGCAUCCGCUCCUUACUCCGGGAGUGUCAGCCUGGGCAGUGUCAACCCCAUCUACCAGCUUCCACUGAAGGUAAAAGUGUCUCUCAACUCUUUUUUUCAAAGUGCAAGAAACAGAAUUCUGCCUCCAGCAGUGAUGCCUGAUAC